GCCACGCUGUGUGAUGAAGGUCUUACGAUCGUAAAGCACUUUCGCCAGGGAUGAUAAUGACGGUACCUGGUAAAGAAACCCCGGCUAACUCCGUGCCAGCAGCCGCGGUAAUACGGAGGGGGUUAGCGUUGUUCGGAAUUACUGGGCGUAAAGCGUACGUAGGCGGAUUGGAAAGUUGGGGGUGAAAUCCCAGGGCUCAACCCUGGAACUGCCUCCAAAACUAUCAGUCUAGAGUUCGAGAGAGGUGAGUGGAAUUCCAAGUGUAGAGGUGAAAUUCGUAGAUAUUUGGAGGAACACCAGUGGCGAAGGCGGCUCACUGGCUCGAUACUGACGCUGAGGUACGAAAGUGUGGGGAGCAAACAGGAUUAGAUACCCUGGUAGUCCACACCGUAAACGAUGAAUGCCAGUCGUCGGGCAGUAUACUGUUCGGUGACACACCUAACGGAUUAAGCAUUCCGCCUGGGGAGUACGGUCGCAAGAUUAAAACUCAAAGGAAUUGACAG
rnacentral:rRNA from 1 species